rnacentral:rRNA from 1 species
UAAUACGUAGGGUGCUAGAGUUGUCCGGAUUUACUGGGUGUAAAGGGUGCUCAGGUGGGUUUGUAAGUCAGAGGUGAAAUCCCAAAGCUUAACUUUGGAGCUGCCUUUGAUACUGCAAGUCUUGAGUUUGAGAGAGGGCAAUGGAAUAUCUGGUGUAGCAGUGAAAUGCGUAGAUAUCAGAUAGAACACCAAUGGCGAAGGCAGUUGCCUGGCUCAAAACUGACGCUAAAGCACGAAAGUGUGGGGAGCAAACAGGAUUAGAUACCCUGGUAGUCCACACCCUAAACGAUGAAUACUAGAUGUUGGUCCUUUUUAGGAUCAGUAUCCAAGCUAACGCAUUAAGUAUUCCACCUGGGAAGUACAAUCGCAAGGUU